rnacentral:rRNA from 1 species
UUGGUAAGGUAACGGCUCACCAAGGCUACGAUGGGUAGGGGUUCUGAGAGGAAGGUCCCCCACACUGGUACUGAGACACGGACCAGACUCCUACGGGAGGCAGCAGUAAGGAAUAUUGGUCAAUGGGCGCAAGCCUGAACCAGCCAUGCCGCGUGCAGGAAGACAGCCUUAUGGGUUGUAAACUGCUUUUAUUAUAGAAAAAUUUGGUGUACGUGUACGCCAUUGAUAGUAUAUAUUGAAUAAGCAUCGGCUAACUCCGUGCCAGCAGCCGCGGUAAUACGGAGGAUGCAAGCGUUAUCCGGAUUUAUUGGGUUUAAAGGGUGCGCAGGCUGUUAAUUAAGUCAGUGGUGAAAUCCAGUAGCUUAACUACUGAUGUGCCAUUGAUACUGGUUAACUAGAAUACAGACGACGUGGGUGGAAUGCGACAUGUAGCGGUGAAAUGCUUAGAUAUGUCGCAGAACACCGAUAGCGAAGGCAGCUCACGAGGAUGUUAUUGACGCUCAUGCACGAAAGCGUGGGGAUCAAACAGGAUUAGAUACCCUGGUAGUCCACGCCCUAAACUAUGAUUACUCGUUGUUAGCUCAAUUGGGAGUUAGU